rnacentral:rRNA from 1 species
UACGGAGGGAGCUAGCGUUGUUCGGAAUUACUGGGCGUAAAGCGCGCGUAGGCGGCUUUGUAAGUUAGAGGUGAAAGCCCGGAGCUCAACUCCGGAACUGCCUUUAAGACUGCAUCGCUUGAAUCCAGGAGAGGUGAGUGGAAUUCCGAGUGUAGAGGUGAAAUUCGUAGAUAUUCGGAAGAACACCAGUGGCGAAGGCGACUCGCUGGACAGACAUUGACGCUGAGGUGCGAAAGCGUGGGGAGCAAACAGG